AUAUUGCUCUCUUCGUCUCAAAUUACUUGUCUUGCAUUUGUCUAGAUACAUAUGUAUUUAGAUAUGUUUUAGUGUUAGAUACAUCCGUAGCUAAACAAAUCUAAGACAAGUAAUUUAGGAUGAAGGUAAUACUAC
rfam:Triticum urartu cultivar G1812 contig197677, whole genome shotgun sequence.